GUCACGUGCGGCGACAACAGCGGCGGUCACGGUCACGGUGCGGCGACAGCGGCGGCGCAGCAACGGCGGUGGUGGUAGCGACGGCGAUGGUGGUAGCGACGACAGUCAGGGUUGGAACUUCACAACCCUAGAAAAACAGAUUUUGUUUUCUCCAAGUCCGACGGCUCUGAUACCAUGUAGAAACAAAAUAUGCACGAGAGUAGAAGAAAGCACACAGAUGUAACGUGGAAAACCCUCAACGCGAAGGAAGAAAAACCACGGGUGAGGAGGUCUGGUGCCCACUAGCCUCCAGACACUCUCUCUCUUCAAAACUUCAUUAACACAAAGAUUAGGGUUUACAGAGAUAUAAGUAGUCCUAAUUAGGACAAACCGGAUCGGGUAAGGAUCCUGACCCGGACAACAAAACCCGUCAACAGGCUGCAUGACAAAUAAUCAAGUUGGCGAUAUUACAGGGUGCCCAGGCUGCAACCAAUGUCAUUCAUAGUCAAUCUUAUAUGAUUCAAUCACAAUCAGUGGUCAAAGGACAACUUGAUUGAGCAUUAAAUAUGUUAAAGAUUGGACAACUUUGAUAGUGAAAAAUGUGAAAGACCUCUAUCUUUAACACAAACUCAGUAUUCCUUGGAUGAAAAUCAGCUCCCAUACAAUGGUUUUCUCUUCAAACAUACAAGAGUACCAUUACACAACUUUAAAGAGUGUGUUGGGUCAGUGUGAAGAGCUUUUAAGGGCCAAAAUGGAGAAAAGGGGUUCAAGCUCCCUUUUCUCUGCCAGGUCUGUAUCACAUGAUAUGCAUUGUAUUGUAUGAUACGACCAUUAUACCUAUAUUACACCCAUAAAACUAUACUUAUAGAUGUAUCAUAUUGCUCUGCAGCAAUCAAUUACCAAAUGUAAUAUAAGUAUAUAACAUAUCGUAUGAUAUGCCAUGUUAUGUACAAAAUUGCUUUAAAGAGGUAGCAUUAUUGCCUAAAGAUGUUUCCCCAUGGGGUGGCACCCUGACAUGAUGUCGAUGGUGCUCCAACUCACCAAAUUCAUUGUCAGCUAUGAUAAGUGCAAUCAACUGCAGAGGUACAUACUAUGCUGACUUUGGCUCAAAUAUGAUGAUGUUAGUUGUCUUAUAGAUUCAUAAGUCAAUUAAUUUGUCUCAAAAUCUAAAACUCUAUACAGGCCAGGAGACAAUCUCAGGCAUGACAACUUUUAUUGGUCAUAGGCCUCUCAAAUGGUAAAAGACGAAAAGGUUUCCGGGAGUGAGACAGAGGUUUGCUUUCAAGUGUAAAGACAGGAGAGGGGCUUGAUUGCAACCAAGCAAGGGCAAAGAAUCGACUUUGGUAAUCCUAUGGUGCUGAGUGAAAGGCUAUUGUUGGAUGGCUAAGAAUUACUUCAGCGGUGUUCAAUGAUCCUGAAAAAGAUAUAUGGCGUAUUUGGGUGACACCUUAAAUGCUGUUUUGGAAGCAAAAUGUCAUUUUUCUUCCAACGUAGUGUUUAAGAACUACCUUCUGCUACUGGCCUCUUCUUCCCCCUUCCACAGUAGCAUCUGCUAUUGCCGUCUUCUUCCCCCUUUCACUUCCACAGCAGAAGCAUCUGGAACUACUGCCAUCUUCUUCCCCCUUCGACUUUCACAGCAGAAGCAUCUGGAACUACUGUUGUUCUCCCUUCCACAGUAGAAGUAUAUGGAAGACUGGAACAAACAAAUAAUCGAGUUAAACGAGUCGGUCGAGUCAAUCUCGAGCUCGAACACAAUCAAUCGAGUCAAGCUCGAGCUACCAUUGUAAAGCUCGACUCGAGUUCGAGCCGAGCUCGAGCUGACCAAAACAAGAGUCGAGCCGAGCUCGAGCUGACUGAGCUCGGGCUCCACUCGGCUCGUGUUCAGCCCUAACCACAAGCUGAGUUUGCAUAUAAUAACUCAGUCAAUCGUUCCACUGGGAAGACUCCUUUUCAAGUAGUAUAUGGUCGGUCUCUGAACCAUGUUGUUGACUUGUCCCUAGUACCUGGUGCUGGAGAACAUGCUCCGGCGACACGUGUUGCUAUUGAAUAUAUGUGUGAUGUCUAUAGUCAAGUGAAACUGAAGUUCCAAGAGAGGUAUGAAACCUACAAGUCCCUUGUUGAUCGGAGUCGUCUAGAUGUCAACUUUGAGGUAGGUCAACAAGUUUGGGUCUACCUACGACCUGAGCGUUGUCCUGUUGGUACUUAUAGUAAGUUAAGUCCUACGAAAUAUGACCUUUUCCACAUCAGUCGUCGUCUAGGAACAAAUGCUUAUCUGUUUGAGCUUCCUGAGGAUUGGCAAAUUUCGCCGAUCUUCAAUGUUUCUGGUCUGUUUCCCUACUCUGGUGACAUUGAUUCGUUAAAGACGACUUUUUUCCAACCAAGGGAGAAUGAUGCAGAGCAGGACCAGACACGUCACUCUCCUGGUUCCAAUUCCCCACCUCAGGUCCCACCUUUGGGCAUCAGUGUAGAUCAUGAAUCUUUAGUCGUGGAAUUCCACGCGGACCCGGAGCAUAGUUGAGAGGAAGUGCCCCUGCGUAGAUACUCGAGGCGCACCAAGGGUUGAAUUCAUCUCAGCUACUAGUGUCACCAACUUUGUGUCUAUUAAAUUGGAUGGGUGAACUCCAAGGGCUGGUGGAAUCAGUAGAAUCAGAUGGAAAUGGAGCCCAAUCAUCUACAAGCAGUGUCGUGUUAGAACUGAUGCCCAUCAAGGAUAUUUUGCUGAAUUAUAGUGCACAUUGCACAUCAUGGUUAUUUUUGGUGAAUUCGCCGAUGGACGUGAACAUAAUGAAUGAAGUUUUUGAGCGGAGGAAGACACAAAGGUGGAGAAGACAUUGAAUCAAUAUCAUCAAUCUUUGAUCAAUCAAAUAAAAAUUUCUUUUGAAAACUAGACACUGGAUAAA